rnacentral:rRNA from 1 species
UACGAAGGGGGCUAGCGUUGCUCGGAAUGACUGGGCGUAAAGGGCGCGUAGGCGGUUUGUACAGUCAGGUGUGAAAUUCCCGGGCUCAACCUGGGGGCGGCACUUGAGACGUAGGAACUGGAGUGAGGAAGAGGGUCGUGGAAUUCCCAGUGUAGAGGUGAAAUUCGUAGAUAUUGGGAAGAACACCAGUGGCGAAGGCGAGUCCCUGGACAGGUCCUGACGCUGAGGCACGAAAGCUAGGGGAGCAAACAGG